GUAGCCGGCCUGAGAGGGUGUCCGGCCACACUGGGACUGAGAUACGGCCCAGACUCCUACGGGAGGCAGCAGUGGGGAAUAUUGCACAAUGGGCGMAAGCCUGAUGCAGCGACGCCGCGUGGGGGAUGACGGCCUUCGGGUUGUAAACCUCUUUCAAUAGGGACGAAGCGCAAGUGACGGUACCURUAGAAGAAGCACCGGCCAACUACGUGCCAGCAGCCGCGGUAAUACGUAGGGUGCGAGCGUUGUCCGGAAUUACUGGGCGUAAAGAGCUCGUAGGUGGUUUGUCGCGUUGUCCGUGAAAUUUCACAACUCAAUUGUGAGCGUGCGGGCGAUACGGGCARACUGGAGUACUGCAGGGGAGACUG
rnacentral:rRNA from 1 species